AAUUUACCAUAUGCAAGGGCAUGUGUAUGGCAUACAACUCAAAUUGUAUUAGCUAACUAGCAAGAACCUGAUAACGAUCUACUAACACAAAAAGAUGCUCAAGAUAUGUAAAUUUGCGAACUAUAUCAUAGCAGAAUAUCCCAUUUGUACACUAAACGGAUAAAUACCUGUUGGAAGAGCCAUAUUUUUCAGAAUAUGGAUUUUCUGAAGACAAUAGUUGGUCUUGCUUCACCGUGACUUGACUGGUCUGAGCCAA